rnacentral:rRNA from 1 species
GAUGAACGCUGGCGGCGUGCCUAAUACAUGCAAGUCGAGCGAACAGACGAGGAGCUUGCUCCUCUGACGUUAGCGGCGGACGGGUGAGUAACACGUGGAUAACCUACCUAUAAGACUGGGAUAACUUCGGGAAACCGGAGCUAAUACCGGAUAAUAUAUUGAACCGCAUGGUUCAAUAGUGAAAGACGGUUUUGCUGUCACUUAUAGAUGGAUCCGCGCCGCAUUAGCUAGUUGGUAAGGUAACGGCUUACCAAGGCGACGAUGCGUAGCCGACCUGAGAGGGUGAUCAGCCACACUGGAACGGAGACACGGUCCAGACUCCUACGGGAGGCAGCAUUAGGGAAUCUUCCGCAAAGGGCGAAAGCCUGACGGAGCAACGCCACGUGAGUGAUGAAGGUCUUCGGAUCGUAAAACUCUGUUAUUAGGGAAGAACAAAUGUGUAAGUAACUAUGCACGUCUUGACGGUACCUAAUCAGAAAGCCACGGCUAACUACGUG